GACCCGGUGGUGCAGCGGUUAGCACGCCUGUAUUCUAUACAAAGAUCGGCUGGAGACCUUUAAUCAGGAGAUCCUCGUUCGACUCGGGGUCGGGUCA